UACGUAGGGUGCAAGCGUUGUCCGGAAUUAUUGGGCGUAAAGGGCUCGUAGGCGGUCCAUCGCGUCGGGAGUGAAAGGCUGGGGCUUAACCCCAGUCCUGCUUCCGAUACGGGUGGACUAGAGGUAGGUAGGGGAGAACGGAAUUCCUGGUGUAGCGGUGAAAUGCGCAGAUAUCAGGAGGAACACCGGUGGCGAAGGCGGUUCUCUGGGCCUUACCUGACGCUGAGGAGCGAAAGCAUGGGGAGCAAACAGG
rnacentral:rRNA from 1 species